rnacentral:rRNA from 1 species
AGUGAACGCUGGCGGUAGGCCUAACACAUGCAAGUCGAACGGCAGCACAGUAAGAGCUUGCUCUUACGGGUGGCGAGUGGCGGACGGGUGAGGAAUACAUCGGAAUCUACUUUUUCGUGGGGGACAACGUAGGGAAACUUACGCUAAUACCGCAUACGACCUACGGGUGAAAGCAGGGGAUCUUCGGACCUUGCGCGAUUGCAUGAGCCGAUGUCGGAUUAGCUAGUUGGCGGGGUAAAGGCCCACCAAGGCGACGAUCCGUAGCUGGUCUGAGAGGAUGAUCAGCCACACUGGAACUGAGACACGGUCCAGACUCCUACGGGAGGCAGCAGUGGGGAAUAUUGGACAAUGGGCGCAAGCCUGAUCCAGCCAUACCGCGUGGGUGAAGAAGGCCUUCGGGUUGUAAAGCCCUUUUGUUGGGAAAGAAAAGCAGCAGGUUAAUACCCCGCUGUUCUGACGGUACCCAAAGAAUAAGCACCGGCUAACUUCGUG